rfam:Eucalyptus grandis cultivar BRASTZ1 unplaced genomic scaffold scaffold_4, whole genome shotgun sequence.
UUGCACUUAUCCAUUGGCCUCUCCUAAUUGGGUGGCGGGGCCUUUGAGCUAGGGUGCAUAGAUCAAUAGCUGUUAAAUCAGCAGAAGCCAGACAACCGUUGAGAUGGACCACAGGUGAAUGGCCUAAAGUGCUGCUUGCCUACUGAAUCCAUCUUACAUGU